AUGAUACUGGUUCGAAAAAUCCCAGUUAAAAAAACUAGAAAGAG
rnacentral:ncRNA from 1 species